rnacentral:rRNA from 1 species
CCUACGGGAGGCAGCAGUGGGGAAUAUUGGGCAAUGGAGGAGACUCUGACCCAGCAACGCAGCGUGAAGGAUGAAGGUUUUCGGAUUGGAAACUUCUUUCUCUAGAGAUGAAAAGUGACGGUACCUCGUAAUAAAGCCCGGGCAAACUACGUUCGAGCAGCCGCGGUAAUACGUAGGGGCCGAGCGUUGUCCGGAAUGACUGGGCGUAAAGGGAUUGUAGGGGGCAUAUUAAGUUAUGUGUGAAAGCUCGCGGCUCAACCGCGGAAUUGCAAAUAAAACUGGUAAGCUGGAGUGCAGGUGAGGUAAGUGGAAUUCCCGGUGUAGCGGUGGAAUGCGUAGAUAUCGGGAGGAACACCAGAGGCGAAGGCGACUUACUGGACUGUAACUGACGCUGAGGCUCGAAAGCGUGGGGAGCAAACAGGAUUAGAUACCCCUGUAGUC